GGCAGCAUCCCAGUGAGAGCCAAUUUGCCUUUUCCUCAGCCUACCCGGGCACAUGGAGAUGGGCUGUCAGAAAAGCACCUUACCUGGGUUUAAUUGUGACAGCAGGAGAGCAAUGGCAGAGCUGGCACGUCUUGUCUUCUCAUCAGACCUGGGAAAUUUUGGUCGUAGAAUCAUAGACUUGUUUGAUUUGGAAGAAACCUUUAAAGGCCAUCUGGUCCUACUGCCCUGCAAUGAACAGCCACAGCUGGAUCAGAUUAAAUGUUAUCCUUGGUCUUCUGCUUGCCUGCCAAGGAGAUGUCAGUGGACCUUGUAUGGGCAGGUGAACACAGA
ensembl:lncRNA